GAAUUCGCCCUUAGAGUUUGAUCCUGGCUCAGGACGAACGCUGGCGGCGUGCUUAACACAUGCAAGUCGAACGAGAAUCUGUGGAUCGAGGAUUCGUCCAAGUGAAGCAGAGGACAGUGGCGGACGGGUGAGUAACGCGUGAGGAACCUGCCUUUCAGAGGGGGACAACAGUUGGAGACGACUGCUAAUACCGCAUGAUACGUAUUGGGGGCAUCCCUGAGACGUCAAAGAUUUAUCGCUGAAAGAUGGCCCCGCGUCUGAUUAGCUGGUUGGUGAGGUAACGGCCCACCAAGGCGACGAUCAGUAGCCGGACUGAGAGGUUGACCGGCCACAUUGGGACUGAGAUACGGCCCAGACUCCUACGGGAGGCAGCAGUGGGGAAUAUUGGGCAAUGGGCGCAAGCCUGACCCAGCAACGCCCGCGUGAAGGAAGAAGGCUUUCGGGUUGUAAACUUCUUUUAAGAGGGAAGAGCAGAAGACUGUACCUCUAGAAUAAGCCACGGCUAACUACGUGCCAGCAGCCGCGGUAAUACGUAGGUGGCAAGCGUUGUCCGGAUUUACUGGGUGUAAAGGGCGUGCAGCCGGGUAUGCAAGUCAGAUGUGAAAUCCCAUGGGCUUAACCCAUGAACUGCAUUUGAAACUGUAUUUCUUGAGUACUGGAGAGGCAAUCGGAAUUCCUAGUGUAGCGGUGAAAUGCGUAGAUAUUAGGAGGAACACCAGUGGCGAAGGCGGAUUGCUGGACAGCAACUGACGGUGAGGCGCGAAAGUGUGGGGAGCAAACAGGAUUAGAUACCCUGGUAGUCCACACUGUAAACGAUG
rnacentral:rRNA from 1 species